rnacentral:rRNA from 1 species
UACGUAGGGUGCAAGCGUUAAUCGGAAUUACUGGGCGUAAAGCGUGCGCAGGCGGUUGUGCAAGACCGAUGUGAAAUCCCCGGGCUUAACCUGGGAAUGGCAUUGGUGACUGCACGGCUAGAGUGUGUCAGAGGGGGGUAGAAUUCCACGUGUAGCAGUGAAAUGCGUAGAGAUGUGGAGGAAUACCGAUGGCGAAGGCAGCCCCCUGGGCCUGCACUGACGCUCAUGCACGAAAGCGUGGGGAGCAAACAGG